rnacentral:rRNA from 1 species
UACGAAGGGGGCUAGCGUUGUUCGGAAUUACUGGGCGUAAAGCGCGUGUAGGCGGGUCUUUAAGUCAGGGGUGAAAUGCCAAGGCUCAACCUUGGAACUGCCUUUGAUACUGGAGACCUUGAGUCCGGGAGAGGUGAGUGGAAUUGCGAGUGUAGAGGUGAAAUUCGUAGAUAUUCGCAAGAACACCAGUGGCGAAGGCGGCUCACUGGCCCGGAACUGACGCUGAGACGCUAAAGCGUGGGGAGCAAACAGG